rnacentral:tRNA from 1 species
GCCCAGAUGUUGAAAUUGGUAGACAAGCCGGCUUGAGGGGCCGGUGCUCGUUUAGGGCGUGCGGGUUCGAAUCCCGCUCUGGGCACUA